rnacentral:rRNA from 1 species
GGGAGCGUAGGCGGCUGAUUAAGUCAGCGGUGAAACCGGUAGCAGCUUAACUGUUUUACAUGCCGUUGAUACUGGUUAGCUUGAGUUGACAGAAGGCAGAUAGAAUUCCUGGUGUAGCGGUGAAAUGCUUAGAUACCAGGAGGAAUACCGAUUGCGAAGGCAGUCUGCUGCAGUCACACUGACGCUGAGGCUCGAAGGUGCGGGGAUCAAACAGGAUUAGAUACCCUAGU